rnacentral:sRNA from 1 species
GCGGAGGAAAAGAAACCAACAGGGAUUGCCCUAGUAACGGCGAGUGAAGCGGCAACAGCUCAAAUUUGAAAUCUGGCGUAAGCCCGAGUUGUAAUUUGUAGAGGAUGCUUCUGGGUAGCGGCCGGUCUAAGUUCCUUGGAACAGGACGUCAUAGAGGGUGAGAAUCCCGUAUGUGACUGGCUUGCACCCUCCACGUAGCUCCUUCGACGAGUCGAGUUGUUUGGGAAUGCAGCUCUAAAUGGGAGGUAAAUUUCUUCUAAAGCUAAAUACCGGCCAGAGACCGAUAGCGCACAAGUAGAGUGAUCGAAAGAUGAAAAGCACUUUGGAAAGAGAGUUAAAAAGCACGUGAAAUUGUUGAAAGGGAAGCGCCCGCAACCAGACUUUGCGGCGGUGUUCGGCUGGUCUUCUGACCGGUUUACUCGCCGCCGUGAGGCCAUCAUCGUCUGGGACCGCUGGAUAAGACCUGAGGAAUGUAGCUCCCUUCGGGGUGUGUUAUAGCCUCUGGUGAUGCAGCGCGUCUCGGGCGAGGUCCGCGCUUCGGCAAGGAUGAUGGCGUAAUGGUUGUCGGCGGCCCGUCUUGAAACACGGACCAAGGAGUCUAACAUCUAUGCGAGUGUUCGGGUGUCAAACCCCUACGCGUAAUGAAAGUGAACGGAGGUGGGAACUUUUUGUGCACCAUCGACCGAUCCUGAUGUCCUCGGAUGGAUUUGAGUAAGAGCAUAGCUGUUGGGACCCGAAAGAUGGUGAACUAUGCCUGAAUAGGGUGAAGCCAGAGGAAACUCUGGUGGAGGCUCGCAGCGGUUCUGACGUGCAAAUCGAUCGUCAAAUUUGGGUAUAGGGGCGAAAGACUAAUCGAACCAUCUAGUAGCUGGUCCUGCCG